rnacentral:rRNA from 1 species
UACGGGGGGGGGCAAGCGUUGUUCGGAAUUACUGGGCGUAAAGGGCUCGUAGGUGGCCAACUAAGUCAGACGUGAAAUCCCUCGGCUUAACCGGGGAACUGCGUCUGAUACUGGAUGGCUUGAGAUUGGGAGAGGGAUGCGGAAUUCCAGGUGUAGCGGUGAAAUGCGUAGAUAUCUGGAGGAAUACCGGUGGCGAAGGCGGCAUCCUGGACCGGCAUUGACGCUGAUGAGCGAAAGCUAGGGGAGCAAACGGGG